CUGAUUAACAACGAAUAUUAUCGUGAUAUUCAGCUCGCCCUGGCGCAGAAACAGGCAUAAGGAGGCGCAAAUGAAGGCCAUGAAUAAGGUUUGGGUUAUCGGCGAUGCCUCCGUUGAUCU
rnacentral:rRNA from 1 species